GGACUACUGGGGUAUCUAAUCCCGUUCGCUCCCCUGGCUUUCGCCCCUCAGCGUCAGGAGGCCUCCAGGAGCGUGCCUUCGCCUUUGGUGUUCCUCCGGAUCUCUACGCAUUUCACCGCUCCACCCGGAAUUCCCGCUCCCUCUCGGCUCCUCAAGUCCAGCCGUUUUCUGACCCGUCUGCCGGUUGAGCCGGCAAUUGUCAGUCAGAACGCGCUGCACCGCCUACAGGCCCUUUACGCCCAGUAACUCCGGACAACGCUCGCCCCCUACGUAUUACCGCGGCUGCUGGCAC
rnacentral:rRNA from 1 species